UCUUCUUUCCCUACAACUCCACCUACAUUUGUCAUGUCUCCAUCCCAUGGCCAGUAUCCUGCUGGGUUCUCACCGUACCAUUCCCCACCCACCAUGUAUGGCAGCAGAAGCCCACCAACCCCUUAUGCAUACUCGCCCGAAGCAGCCCCUCCUCCUGCCGGAUCAUACCCUGGAGCUCCGAUGAACUAUCCCGCCUAUGCAGCUUAUGGCAACGGUAUGGUACCAGCUUAUCAGCAGGCUUACUACCGAUAGACAUGACAAAACUCGUUUGAAGACGGUAACCACUGAUAUGAUGACUCCAGAUCUCAUCAACUUUUAUAAUGGCUUGUUUGUAAUCACUAACCGUUUAAAUGGUAGCGAUGUGUGUGUUAAUCAUGAUAUAUCGUCAUGCUUCUUGCUUUGUCAUGGUGGCAAGUUG
rnacentral:lncRNA from 1 species